rnacentral:rRNA from 1 species
AUUGAACGCUGGCGGCAUGCCUUACACAUGCAAGUCGAACGGUAACAGGUUAAGCUGACGAGUGGCGAACGGGUGAGUAAUGUAUCGGAACCUGCCCAGUCGUGGGGGAUAACUACUCGAACGAAUGGCCAAGAACGCAUGUGAUCUACGGAUGAAAGCAGGGGAUCGCAAGACCUUGUGCUACUAGCGCGGCCGAUGGCAGAUUAGGUAGUUGGUGGGAUAAAAGCUUAGCAAGCCGACGAUCUGUAGCUGGUCUGAGAGGACGAUCAGCCACACUGGGACUGAGACACGGCCCAGACUCCUACGGGAGGCAGCAGUGGGGAAUUUUGGACAAUGGGCGCAAGCCUGAUCCAGCAAUGCCGCGUGCAGGAUGAAGGCCUUCGGGUUGUAAACUGCUUUUGUACGGAACGAAAAGCCCUGGGUUAAUACCCUGGGGUCAUGACGGUACCGUAAGAAUAAGCACCGGCUAACUACGUGCCAGCCGCCGCAGUAAUAC